CCUACGGGAGGCAGCAGUGAGGAAUAUUGGUCAAUGGACGAGAGUCUGAACCAGCCAAGUAGCGUGAAGGAUGACUGCCCUCUGGGUUGUAAACUUCUUUUAUAUGGGAAUAAAACGUUCCACGUGUGGGAUUUUGUAUGUACCAUAUGAAUAAGGAUCGGCUAACUCCGUGCCAGCAGCCGCGGUAAUACGGAGGAUCCGCGCGUUAUCCGGAUUUAUUGGGUUUAAAGGGAGCGUAGGUGGAUUGUUAAGUCAGUUGUGAAAGUUUGCGGCUCAACCGUAAAAUUGCAGUUGAAACUGGCAGUCUUGAGUACAGUAGAGGUGGGCGGAAUUCGUGGUGUAGCGGUGAAAUGCUUAGAUAUCACGAAGAACUCCGAUUGCGAAGGCAGUUCACUGGACUGCAACUGACACUGAGGCUCGAAAGUGUGGGUAUCAAACAGGAUUAGAUACCCCAGUAGUC
rnacentral:rRNA from 1 species